GAUGAACGCUGACAGAAUGCUUAACACAUGCAAGUCAACUGUGGCGGACGGGUGAGUAACGCGUAAAGAACUUGCCUCACGGAUAGGGACAACAUUGGGAAAUGAAUGCUAAUACCUGAUACAGUGAGAGAGCUUUGCGUCAUAUUAGCUAGUUGGAGAGGUAACGGUUCACGAAGGCGAGGAUCGGUAGCCAGCCUGAGAGGGUGAUCGGCCACAAGGGGACUGGGACACGACCCUUACGCAGACGGGAGGCAGGAGUGGGAGAUAUUGGCCAAUAGGCCAAAGUAUGAACAAGGAAUUCUGUGUGGACAAUGAAGUUUUCGGGAUGUAAGGUGGUAUCGGUUGAGAAGCGGUACCAACAGAAGAAGUAACGGCUAAAUACGUGCCAGCAGCCGCGGUAAUUC
rnacentral:rRNA from 1 species